rnacentral:sRNA from 1 species
CUGUAUAAAAUACAUAUGCCACAUUGCGUGAAAUAUUAUAAUGUAUAUAUAAUAUGUAUUGUAUUGUUAACGCAUAUGACGGUUCCGUGAUAUUGGAUACGUACACACGCACGCUUGUCGUGUAUAUGUGUAUAUAUAUCCUAUAUAUUGCGGUCCGUUUAAAUAUUGUCUAACGACACACGUUGAUUAUAAUUUAUAUAUCAUACGACAAUGUUAGAGAUUAUUAUAAUAUUUGUCGAACGAUCGACGGUGUUACCGUCGAUGCGCUUUCCCGGGUAAGGUGGGACGCUUUGGAUUCUUCGAGUUGGUGUGUUAUGUAACAAUAUCACACAUACGAGAGGGUUGAUGGCGUGUGCAUGUUUUCAACAAGUUCAACACCGUACACAUGUCGCGAGACACGUAAAUAUUAACAAUCCUCUAUAUGACAAUUGACGUAUACACAAAGAUAUGUAAGCCUUAAAAAUCAUCGACAGUAGGCGGACUCGACGUCCGAAGAGCGCAUCGACGCCGCCGUCGUUAUCGAUCGUUAUUAUGUAAAAAAAUGUAACGUGUCGUAGCGGUUGCGUCGUCGUAACGCUGACGGAUAUCGCGUCUGCCUCAUUUUUUUAUCGUUGGCCUCAGAUCAGGGAGGAUCACCCGCCGAAUUUAAGCAUAUUAGUAAGCGGAGGAAAAGAAACUAACUAGGAUUUCCUUAGUAGCGGCGAGCGAACAGGAAAGAAGCCCAGCACUGAAUCCCGCCGUUGUUCAGGCGGCGGGAGAUGUGGUGUUCGGGAGGUUCCGCUUUCUCGUCGCGAUCGCUCCUGUCCAAGUUCGUCUUGAACGGGGCCGUUUUCCCGUAGAGGGUGCCAGGCCCGUAGCGACGGAGGAUCGCGGCGAGAGGGACUCUCCUUAGAGUCGGGUUGCUUGAGAGUGCAGCCCUAAGUGGGUGGUAA